GCCCAGCCAGUAUGGAGGCUAUGACCCUCGGCUUGUAACCGAGUGGGUUCGGGUUCGAAUCCCGAGUAAGACU